UUUCUUCAUCAGAAAAUAAUGAGAGGAGCUAAAGUUGGGCAUUACCACAACGUUACCUCAUUUGAAGAGCAGAACGGUAAUGUGCCAGCCUGUGAGACUCAGCUGAAGGAGGAGCCCUCUGCUGAGUUGGAUGCUUCUGAGGGUCUCACUAAACAGAAUUAGAUUGCAUCUGGACUUGCCAACACAUCAUGUCCAGAGAAGGGACUUCCUGACUUAAGUCACUUACAGAACUUACAGAAGUGAUCAUAGUUCAUUAAAUACAUUUCAUCAAA